CUACGGGUUGCUCCAGUGGGGAAUAUUGCACAAUGGGCGCAAGCCUGAUGCAGCCAUGCCGCGUGUAUGAAGGAGGCCUUCGGGUUGUAAAGUACUUUCAGCGGGGAGGAAGGGAGUAAAGUUAAUACCUUUGCUCAUUGACGUUACCCGCAGAAGAAGCACCGGCUAACUCCGUGCCAGCAGCCGCGGUAAUACGGAGGGUGCAAGCGUUAAUCGGAAUUACUGGGCGUAAAGCGCACGCAGGCGGUUUGUUAAGUCAGAUGUGAAAUCCCCGGGCUCAACCUGGGAACUGCAUCUGAUACCGGCAAGCUUGAGUCUCGUAGAGGGGGGUAGAAUUCCAGGUGUAGCGGUGAAAUGCGUAGAGAUCUGGGGGAAUACCGGUGGCGAAGGCGGCCCCCUGGACGAAGACUGACGCUCAGGUGCGAAAGCGUGGGGAGCAAACAGGAUUAGAUACCCGCGUAGUC
rnacentral:rRNA from 1 species